GAUGAACGCUGGCGGCGUGCCUAAUACAUGCAAGUCGAGCGAACGGACGAGAAGCUUGCUUUUCUGAUGUUAGCGGCGGACGGGUGAGUAACACGUGGAUAACCUACCUAUAAGACUGGGAUAACUUCGGGAAACCGGAGCUAAUACCGGAUAAUAUUUUGAACCGCAUGGUUCAAAAGUGAAAGACGGUCUUGCUGUCACUUAUAGAUGGAUCCGUGCUGCAUUAGCUAGUUGGUAAGGUAACGGCUUACCAAGGCAACGAUGCAUAGCCGACCUGAGAGGGUGAUCGGCCACACUGGAACUGAGACACGGUCCAGACUCCUACGGGAGGCAGCAGUAGGGAAUCUUCCGCAAUGGGCGAAAGCCUGACGGAGCAACGCCGCGUGAGUGAUGAAGGUCUUCGGAUCGUAAAACUCUGUUAUUAGGGAAGAACAUAUGUGUAAGUAACUGUGCACAUCUUGACGGUACCUAAUCAGAAAGCCACGGCUAACUACGUG
rnacentral:rRNA from 1 species